CCUAUGAUCCUGUGAUCCUGGGUGUGCCAGAGAGCCUGGGAAUGGAGUCUCCUCUGGGGAUUGUGGGACUGGCUGCCAUGUUUGGGCUCAAGUUGAUUUCUUAAGAACAGCUUACAGAGAAACUGGACAAAACAGCUACAUUUAGAAGAAAUGCAAAAGAGACAAAUGAUAUCAAUACAGUUAGGAUACAGAUGAAGAAUAGAGUCAUGGAAGGGAGCCUCCAGAAGGACAGCAGGUGUUAGACUGAUCAGUUAGCAAGUCAGUUGUAAAGGUAAAAGGGAGAGUGUCCAGAGAGAGUCACAAGGCUGAGCAUCUGGUCUGAAAGCUGACUGCAGCAGAAAGAAACUCACAGUCCCCACGUUAACAAGGAGCAAGGCUGGCUUGUUAAUUCAAAACCUUGUA